CUGCUGGCGACCGGCGCACGGGUGAGUAACACGUAUCCAACCUGCCCUUUACUCGGGGAUAGCCUUUCGAAAGAAAGAUUAAUACCCGAUAGCAUAAUGAUUCCGCAUGGUUUCAUUAUUAAAGGAUUCCGGUAAAGGAUGGGGAUGCGUUCCAUUAGGUUGUUGGUGAGGUAACGGCUCACCAAGCCUUCGAUGGAUAGGGGUUCUGAGAGGAAGGUCCCCCACAUUGGAACUGAGACACGGUCCAA
rnacentral:rRNA from 1 species